UGGGGAAUAUUGCACAAUGGGCGCAAGCCUGAUGCAGCCAUGCCGCGUGUAUGAAGAAGGCCUUCGGGUUGUAAAGUACUUUCAGCGGGGAGGAAGGGAGUAAAGUUAAUACCUUUGCUCAUUGACGUUACCCGCAGAAGAAGCACCGGCUAACUCCGUGCCAGCAGCCGCGGUAAUACGGAGGGUGCAAGCGUUAAUCGGAAUUACUGGGCGUAAAGCGCACGCAGGCGGUUUGUUAAGUCAGAUGUGAAAUCCCCGGGCUCAACCUGGGAACUGCAUCUGAUACUGGCAAGCUUGAGUCUCGUAGAGGGGGGUAGAAUUCCAGGUGUAGCGGUGAAAAGCGUAGAGAUCUGGAGGAAUACCGGUGGCGAAGGCGGCCCCCUGGACAAAGAAUGACGAUCAGGUGCGAAAGCGUGGGGAGCAAACAGG
rnacentral:rRNA from 1 species